rnacentral:rRNA from 1 species
GACAUGCAAGUUGUGCGUCUCUAAGCUAUGGUAGAGACACGACGUACGGCUCAGUAACACGUGGCUAACCUACCCUUAGGACGGGGACAACCCCGGGAAGCUGGGGCCAAUAUUGAUAGGUGAGGAGGCUGGAAUGGUUCUUCCCUGAAAAGGCGUUGAAACCAUGCUUUUCAGCGUCGCCUAAGGAUGGGGCCGCGCCCGAUCAGGUUGUUGGUGGGGUAACGGCUCACCAAGCCAUUAACCGGUACGGGCCGUGAGAGCGGGAGCCCGGAGAUGGGCACUGAGACAAGGGCCCAGGCCCUACGGGGCGCAGCAGUCGCGAAAACUCCGCAAUGCGCGAAAGCGUGACGGGGUUAUCCCGAGUGCCGUCCGCUGAGGAUGGCUUUUCCCCGGUGUAAUGAGCCGGGGGAAUAAGGAGAGGGCAAGUCUGGUGUCAGCCGCCGCGGUAAUACCAGCUCUCCGAGUGGUAGGGACAAUUAUUGGGCUUAAAGCGUCCGUAGCCGGCUUGGCAAGUCUCCUGUUAAAUUCAGCGACUUAAUCGUUGAGCCGCGGGAGAUACUACUAGGCUAGGAGGCGGGAGAGGCCGACGGUAUUCUCGGGGUAGGGGUGAAAUCCUAUAAUCCCGGGAGGACCAUCAGUGGCGAAGGCUGUCGGCUAGAACGCGCUCGACGGUGAGGGACGAAAGCUGGGGGAGCAAACCGGAUUAGAUACCCGGGUAGUCCCAGCCGUAAACGAUGCGGGCUAGGUGUUGAGGUGGCUACGAGCCACUUCAGUGCCGCAGGGAAGCCAUUAAGCCCGCCGCCUGGGGAGUACG